GAUGAACGCUGGCGGCGUGCCUAAUACAUGCAAGUCGAGCGAACGGACGAGAAGCUUGCUUCUCUGAUGUUAGCGGCGGACGGGUGAGUAACACGUGGAUAACCUACCUAUAAGACUGGGAUAACUUCGGGAAACCGGAGCUAAUACCGGAUAAUAUAUUGAACCGCAUGGUUCAAAAGUGAAAGACGGUCUUGCUGUCACUUAUAGAUGGAUCCGCGCCGCAUUAGCUAGUUGGUAAGGUAACGGCUUACCAAGGCAACGAUGCAUAGCCGACCUGAGAGGGUGAUCGGCCACACUGGAACUGAGACACGGUCCAGACUCCUACGGGAGGCAGCAGUAGGGAAUCUUCCGCAAUGGGCGAAAGCCUGACGGAGCAACGCCGCGUGAGUGAUGAAGGUCUUCGGAUCGUAAAACUCUGUUAUUAGGGAAGAACAAAUGUGUAAGUAACUAUGCACGUCUUAACGGUACCUAAUCAGAAAGCCACGGCUAACUACGUG
rnacentral:rRNA from 1 species